rnacentral:pre_miRNA from 1 species
AUCAAGAUCUUGAUCCAAAGCCCACUGAAGUCAAUGGGAAAAUUCACAUUGACUUCACUGGGCUUUGAAUCAGGCUCCUAUUCAU